GACAAAACACACCACAAUACAAAAACUCCAUGCCACACCCUGGCCUGACCCAAUACAUGAAGAAAAACACAAAAUACUUAGACCAGGGCGUGACAGUAAGGUUACAGGGGGUAAUGCUGUGUAUGGUUACAGGGCGUAAUGCUGUGUGUGGUUACAGGGGGUAAUGUUGUAUAUGGUUACAGGGGGUAAUGUUGUAUAUGGUUACAGGGGGUAAUGCUGUGUAUGGUUAUAGGGGGUAAGGUUGUGUAAGGUUACAGGGGUUAAUGUUGUGUAUGGUUAGAGGGGGUAAUGCUGUGCACGGUUAUAUGGGGUAAUGCUGUGUAUGGUUACAGGGGGUAAUGGUGUGUAUAGUUACAGGUGGUAAUGUGGUGUAUGGUUACAGGGGGUAAUGCUGUAUAUGGUUACAUGGGGUAAUGUUGUGUAAAGUGACAUGGGGUAAUGCCAUGUAAGGUUACAUGGGGUAAUGCUGUGCAUGGUCACAGGGGGUAAUGCGGUGUAUGGUUACAGGGAGUAAUGCUGUGUAUGGUUACAUGGGGUAAGGUUGUGUAAGGUUACAGGGGUUAAUGUUGUGUAUGGUUAGAGGGGGUAAUGCUGUGCACGGUUAUAUGGGGUAAUGCUGUGUAUGGUUACAGGGGGUAAUGGUGUGUAUAGUUACAGGUGGUAAUGCGGUGUAUGGUUACAGGGGGUAAUGCUGUAUAUGGUUACAUGGGGUAAUGUUGUGUAAAGUGACAUGGGGUAAUGCCAUGUAAGGUUACAUGGGGUAAUGCUGUGCAUGGUCACAGGGGGUAAUGCGGUGUAUGGUUACAGGGAGUAAUGCUGUGUAUGGUUACAUGGGGUAAUGUUGUGUAAGGUUACAGGGGGUAAUGUUGUGUAUGGUUACAUGGGGUAAUGUUGUGUAAGGUUACAUGGGGUAAUGUUGUGUAUGGUUACAGGGGGUAAUGUUGUGUAAGGACACAGGGGGUAAUGUUGUGUAUGGUUAGAGGGGGCAAUGUUGUGUAAGGUUACAGGGGGUAAUGCUGUGCAUGGUUACAUGGGGUAAUGUUGUGUAAGGUCACAGGGGGUAAUUUUGUUUUGUAAGUUGUUCAUACUGAGCAGUUCAGCAUAUAAUUAUAUCAUAGUAUGUCAUGUAUUUCAAACCAGAUUUUCCAUCCAGUAAAUUGCUAUUAUUACUGGAUUUAAAAAAACUAAACAAAUAUGUCAGUCAGAAGUUUUGAAACCAAAUAUAUUUGUUUACGCCCAAACAGCAUUUUAUUCCCUGUUUGGUGCACUACUGUGACCAAAGCCCUAUUCAGAAGGGCACUAUAUCAGGAAUAGGGUGGAAUUUGUGACACAAGUUCUAUUUCUGUCAUAGUAGUACAUUCAGCUCUGGUUAGCCUGAGUAUUAUGGUCUGUCUGUAUUGGUCUGUCUGUAUUGGUCUGUCUAGGUACCAGGUCUGUAUUGGUCUGUCUAGGUACCAGGUCUGUAUUGGUCUGUCUAGGUACCAGGGUAGUAUGGUCUGUCUGUAUUGGUCUGUCUAGGUACCAGGGUAGUAUGGUCUGUCUGUAUUGGUCUGUCUAGGUACCAGGUCUGUAUUGGUCUGUCUAGGUACCAGGUCUGUAUUGGUCUGUCUAGGUACCAGGUCUGUAUUGGUCUGUCUAGGUACCAGGGUAGUAUGGUCUGUCUGUAUUGGUCUGUCUAGGUACCAGGGUAGUAUGGUCUGUCUGUAUUGGUCUGUCUAGGUACCAGGUCUGUAUUGGUCUGUCUAGGUACCAGGUCUGUAUUGGUCUGUCUAGGUACCAGGUCUGUAUUGGUCUGUCUAGGUACCAGGGUAGUAUGGUCUGUCUGUAUUGGUCUGUCUAGGUACCAGGGUAGUAUGGUCUGUCUGUAUUGGUCUGUCUACGUACCAGGGUAGUAUGGUCUGUCUGUAUUGGUCUGGGUAAGGGUGGAGACCAGGACAGGUUCAGGGCAGAUGCUUGAAGGGAGGUUCCCCUCUCUUGUUCUAUGAAAGCAGAAGCCUGGAAUACACACUGAUCAUCAUUAUGUUUCUCUGUUGUUUAUCAGUGAAAAUACACAAAUGCAAUUAGAGUGAUAUUCAGCUCAAAUUCCAGGCUUGAAAACCAAAGGGUUUAUUUGCAAAUAAAGGGAAUUGUAUACAAAUACAAUGAAGCUUGGUCUAGCUGGGUUAUAUUUGAGAGGGGGUAUGUUAUGCUGUGAGGGAAAUAUGUUUUUCAGAGACAUACUGUAUAUAUUGUAUGCAGUGAGUUGGUGAGGAAAGGGGCAGCCAGGCCGGGGUGAUUGUGACUUUGACCCCCAUUCCUUGUCAGAGUUCAAAUGACAACCCCAUGCUGUCAAAUGGGUUGGAAACAUAGGGUACAUCCUAAAUGACAGCCUAGUCCCUAUAUAGUGCACUACUUUAUGGCACCCUAUUCCCUAUAUAGCGCACUACUUUGGACCAGGGCCCAAGUAUAGAGUGCUAUUUGGUAUGCACCUACACACAGCCCUGAUCUGAAGUAUACAAAACCAAUUAGGCUUUAUAUAGAUGGGUUCCACUGGGGUAAUGUUGUGUAAGGUUACAGGGGGUAAUGGUGUGUAUGGUUACAGGGUGUAUUGUUGUGUAUGGUUAGAGGGGGUAAUGCUGUGUAUGGUUACAUGGGGCAAUGUUGUAUGGUUACAGGGGGUAAUGUUGUGUAUGGUUACCGGGGAUAAUGCUGUGUAUGAUCACAGGUGGUAAUGUUGUAUAUGGUCACAGGGGGUAUUGUUGUGCAUGGUUAGAGGGGGUAAUGCUGUGUAUGGUUACAGGGCGUAUUGUUGUGUAUGGUUAUAGGGGGUAAUGCUGUGUAUGAUUACAGGGGGUAAUGUUGUGUAUGGUUACUGGGGUAAUGUUGUGUAUGGUUACAGGGUGUAUCGUUGUGUAUGGUUAGAGGGGGUAAUGCUGUGUAUGGUUACAUGGGGCAAUGUUGUAUGGUUACAGGGGGUAAUGUUGUGUACGGUUACCGGGGAUAAUGUUGUGUAUGAUCACAGGUGGUAAUGUUGUGUAUGGUCACAGGGGGUAUUGUUGUGUAUGGUUAGAGGGGGUAAUGCUGUGUAUGGUUACAGGACGUAUUGUUGUGUAUGGUUAUAGGGGGUAAUGCUGUGUAUGAUUACAGGGGGUAAUGUUGUGUAUGGUUACCGGGGUAAUGUUGUGUAUGGUUACAGGGUGUAUUGUUGUGUAUGGUUAGAGGGGGUAAUGCUGUGUAUGGUUACAUGGGGCAAUGUUGUAUGGUUACAGGGGGUAAUGUUGUGUAUGGUUACCGGGGAUAAUGUUGUGUAUGAUUACAGGUGGUAAUGUUGUGUAUGGUCACAGGGGGUAUUGUUGUGUGGUUACAGGGGGUAAUGUUGUAUGGUUACAGGGGGUCAUGUUGUAUGGUUACAGGGGGUAUUGUUGUGUAUGGUUAGAGGAGGUAAUGCUGUGUAUGGUUUGCGGGGGUAAUGUUGUAUGGUUACUGGGGGUCAUGGUGUUAUGGUUACAGGUGGGUAUUGUUGUGUAUGGUUAGAGGGGGUAAUGUUGGUAUGGUUAGAGGUUGUAAUGCUGUGUAUGGUUACAGGGGGUCAUGUUGUAUGGUUACAGGGGGUAAUGUUGUAAAGGAAUCAUAGUACUACCAUGAGAUGGUGGGGAGGCCAUGCUGGUUAUUGCCUGAGUUACUUUGACCCCCGUCCCUUUAAAAGGUCAAACAACAACAUGAGAUAAUUUAUCUCCUAGUCCGGCUCAGUGGGAGUUUCAACUUUAGUCUAUAUGAGUUUCUGUUCUGUCCCUAGUUCUCUUUCUGUUGUAGAAAGAUGUACUGUAUGUACUUGUUGUUGCAGUCUUUUAUGGGAGAUGCCAUCACCCUUUCUUUUUUAGGAUGUUUUUAAUGUUGUAAUUAUGAAAUGAUAAAGACAAAACAUGUUAUGUCAAAAUGUAGUAAAACAUUUUAACUAAAUUUAAUCGAAAAUGUAAUCUACGUAAUCCCCAAAAGUAAUUAUUUAGCAUGAGAGGACCAUAAAUAUUAACUAGUGAUGCUGCAUAUUCGUAGAAAGGUUCAAAUCUCACCUUUCUGGUAAAAAUCGUUAUAAAUUGCUGAGGUGUAGUCACUUUUGAGGACACAAGCUCAAAUAUACAGUACAAAUAUGAUACAUAUUUUAUAUUACGUCAUUCCUUUUCAACCAAACUAUAUGAAUAUGUCUUGAAAUGACUUAUAUGCUUUGUAAAUAUAUUAUAAUCAAAUUAUGAAACAACUAAGUAUAAGAUUUCACCUUCCUUAUAACUGUAAAAUACAAUUAUUUUAGAUGAACGGCUAUAAAUCAAUCUCUGAUGAAACCACUCUCUCCUGCUGUGCUACGAUGUCAGGGUUUCCGGCAUGUGUUUUGUCAGUUGUUUGUGACGUAGGCUUCAGCCGGGAGUUGAUGGACAGUCGGAAGAGCGAAUUAAAAUGGUGGGAGGGACAUCCCAGCUUCAAGUGGUUUCAGAUUUCGCAUCCUACAUGCUCAGACAAUAUACUACUGUGUCCGUGGGAACAAGGACUGUCGUUCACAGCAAGCCAUUUCCAAUUCAAUUCAAGGGCUUUAUUGGCAUGGGAAACAUGUGUUAACAUUGCCAAAGCAAGUGAGGUAGAGAAUAUAUAAAGUGAAAUAAACAAUAAAAAUUAACAGUAAACAUUACACAUACAGAAGUUUCAAAACAAUAAAGACAUUACAAAUGUCAUAUUAUAUAUAUAUAUACAGUGUUUUAACAAUGUACAAAUGGUUAAAGGACACAAGAUAAAAUAAAUAAGCAUAAAUAUGGGUUGUAUUUACAAUGGUGUGUGUUCUUCACUGGUUGCCCUUUUCUCGUGGCAACGGGUCACAAAUCUUGCUGCUGUGAAGUCACACUGUGGAAUUUCACCCAGUAGAUAUGGGAGUUCCAUCUAAGUUGUCUACAGAUCGAUUUAUAAGCGAAAAUGUUGGUUGGAACCGGUCCCAGGACAAUGCAUUUCCCCCAAACAGGGGACUUUACAUCAGUAUAGGACAUAUAUUUAUGUUACAGUUGUUUUAUUUCAUCCAGAUGAAAAGUUGUAUCUAAAAUACGUUGUUUUAUUUCAUCCAGAUGACAAUAAACUUGUAUCUAAAAUA